rnacentral:snoRNA from 1 species
AGCAAAAUGAGGAAUUCAUACCAACAGAAAGUUUCAUGCUGAUAACACAUACAUGGUCUUCAAAGUUCUCUUAUUGCU